UUGCCUUUCAAAAUCUUGGGAUAGUUGAUAUAUAACUGCAAUUCUCGUGAGAAUUAUUAAGCAGCCAAUCGUUGUUGAGUGUUUGAGUCACAUGUAUCACCGUCGGUCAUUAGCUAGGUAUACUAGCUGGAGCGAGAAGCAUGGAAGAUCAGAGCGAGUUUGGGAGAGCAGAGCUGCAGGAGUCUCCUGUCGUGAGCUGAGGAAUAAGAGAAACACAAAACCGAUUGUAUGCCUUAUGAACUGUGGAAAUGGCCAGGUUCGAUGGCAAGCUGAAGAAUCAGGUACAAGAGCCUCAAAGGAUUUCACCUGUGGUGUCAUAAGAUUUGGUUUCCCCACCAGGCUGGUGGGAGACUUCCUGCAGCCCAUGAACAAAACUGUUCCCACUCUGAUCUGACUUUUGUCAGCCUAGGAACUGCAGCAAGCGCUCUAACCAACUCACCUGACCCUGUUGAACCACCCCAGGUCAGGGGUGACGGGGGUUUUAUAAACUGAAUGGUGUGGCUUGUUGCCGGAACUACGGAGCUAAUUUAUGUUUCUUUGAU